GUGCCGUGGGGUCUGGCCCUCAGCAAUUUAAACAGAGCAGCUUUCCAAACUCAGCAGAGCACACAUCAGAGUGUGUUUAGUUCAUCUGGGCUGGUGAGUUCCAGUGAUGAAAGCCUGGUGCUAAUGGAGGCGAGGUCACCGGUUCAAUCCUCAUAGGACCCAGUUCACUUACAAGAGAAAAAACACUACUCAAGAACCAGAGACACCUCCUGACCCCAGUCACUGACCACAAGAAGGAUGGGGUGAAAACGAUGGCUGACCCAGGGCAAAACCAUCUGAUAAACAACUCAGACAGCACACCCCCAACCCCCAGCAGGAGAAGCCAGCACCUUCUAGUUUAAGGAUUUUAUAAAACCGCUUUUAUAAAAAUCCCUGCGGACAAGUUCACAGUAGCUGACUCCCCAAGAUGAGACGUGCUGCUUUAGAAGGGGGCUGAAGAGCUAUGCCCAGACUGGAGCACGAGUCUGCUUGCUGGUGUGUUUCUCAGUCCAGUUUGAUUUUUUAAAGGUACCCUCCAUGGGACAGAACUCUGCUUACAAACUUUAAAACUGGAUGAUGCAAAAAUUACCUGCACAGCAGAGGAGGACAACGAACCAUAGUAAGUUUAAGUGAUGGAUUCUUUAAUCUAUCAUUAAUUUGUACAGAUAAGUCAAAGAAAGGUAGUAGCAGAUACGGAGCCCUCGCCGUGUACGCAACGCUUGACAUCCUUUCUCACUGAGUCCCCACAGUAGACCUAGUGCUGCCAUUUUGCAGAAGGGGGCUCAAGAUCUGCAUAUUCAACAAGCUUCCCAAGGGAUUUUGAUGGAUUCAGAACCACCCUCUACAAAUCCCUUCUAACCACAACAAAAUGGAUGGGCUGAGUGUUCAUAUUGCCUCACCUUUCAUCAAAGCACCAUCUGGGAACCAGAACUUGGCAUUUGAGAAAAAUCAGAGAUGACUAAGAAUAAGAACAAUCUCAUCAGGAGAAGAGCCGUUGAUCUCCUGUUCCUCUUCUAGAAGAAUUGAGAACAGAAAGGAUCAUUAAACAUCACCUACUCCAAAUGCAUUCGUUUCCAGAACUCCACA
rnacentral:lncRNA from 1 species